GUGUGUGUGUGUGUGUUUAUCUCUCUUAGUCCUGCUGUAAACCGCUGGAGUACCUGAGCUACAUCUCUGAAAGUGAGCAUUCGUAGAGACACGCUACUGAGUACUACGCAGAGGCCUGGAAAUACAGCUUCAAGGUCAACCCCAGCAUUGGUGCGGAUAGAAACCAUCCGACCAUAGUCAUGCUGUAAAGCGCUGGAGUACUUGUGCUCUGAAAGUGUCUCUGAAAGUUGUCAGCUGUUGGCUCAACAGCAAAGCAUGGUGUGACAAGAUGUGUCUUGUGUUCCUGUGACCAGAAGGCUCAACAAUGCAUCAUUCUGACUGACCAGAUGGAUUGUUUAAUCUUUUCUGCUCAUCGGAGGGGUUUUCAGAUUGUCUGUCUGACCAGAGGAGGACCACUACACUGGCAAUGACUGGGGUUUGCCUUAGGGCCCACCAACCAUAGCGGUCUCCGCCCAAACCAACCAGCUGUCAACCGCUGCGCUGCCGCUGGCUUGUGGAUCUAAAGUUUUGUCAUGAUAGCUUGUUUUUGUUUUGUACACAACCCUAUAGAUGAUCGCUUAUUCCAAGGAAGACACACACAAAUAAAUACAAACUACUUUAAGGGACACAAAGGUAUGGAAGGACUCCAGCCACUGAUAUUGGACAUAUGGUGUAAUUUUCUUCUGUAUCUAUCUAAUGCAAAACUAUACUUGCAACAAUUUCUUAUGUCAUGUGAAAUAAUAAGAUGAAAACCUCACUCAUAUGCAUUAGCUCUUGCAUAAAAUCUUUGCAAUAAUGGACCAUGUUUACGACAGACUCAUUCCGACCCUAGGCCAACCUGGGGCCAAUACACUGAUGAUUGCCUGGGGCCAUAUCAGGAGCGCGCUUGUCCCUGCGUACCUUUUUUAUAAUUUUGCUCAUAUACCAUGCAUUAGUUGUGUGUAGUGCUGAAUGUAUUAGUGAAGCUGAACACAUUAUCUGUGAUAUAUCUGUAUGGAAGAGACCCCUUAUCACAAACCAAUAAAAUGUCUGCAUUUGAUUGACAUUGAUAAAUAGAUAUAUGUUGUGCUGAAAUAAAGCCAUUUCACUGCUGA